UACGUAGGUGGCGAGCGUUGUCCGGAUUUACUGGGCGUAAAGAGCGCGCAGGCGGCUGGUCAAGUCCGAUGUGAAAGCUCCCGGCUUAACUGGGAAAUUGCAUCGGAAACUGAUCGGCUGGAAGGUGGGAGAGGGUAGCGGAAUUCCCGGUGUAGUGGUGAAAUGCGUAGAUAUCGGGAGGAACACCAGUGGCGAAGGCGAGUUCCUGGACAGUUACUGACGCUGAGGCACGAAGGCCAGGGGAGCAAACGGG
rnacentral:rRNA from 1 species